rnacentral:rRNA from 1 species
UACGUAGGCAGCGAGCGUUGUUCGGAAUUACUGGGCGUAAAGAGUGUGUAGGCGGUGCUCUAAGUUCGGUGUGAAAUCUCCCGGCUUAACUGGGAGGGUGCGCCGGAAACUGGAGUGUUCGAGCGUGGGAGAGGAAAGCGGAAUUCCUGGUGUAGCGGUGAAAUGCGUAGAUAUCAGGAGGAACACCUGCGGUGUAGACGGCUUUCUGGACCAUUGCUGACGCUGAGACACGAAAGCGUGGGUAGCAAACAGG